CCUACGGGAGGCAGCAGUGAGGAAUAUUGGUCAAUGGCCGGAAGGCUGAACCAGCCAAGCCGCGUGAAGGACGAAGGUGCCAAGCAUUGUAAACUUCUUUUGUCAAGGGACAAAAUCAGGCUCGAGAGCCUGACCGAGGGUACUUGAAGACAAAGCAUAGGCUAACUCCGUGCCAGCAGCCGCGGUAAUACGGAGGAUGCGAGCGUUAUCCGGUUUUAUGGGGUUUAAAGGGUGCGUAGGCGGCCUGUUAAGUCAGCGGUAAAAGCCCGGGGCUCAACCCCGGCGAGACGUUGAAACUGGCUGUCUUGAGAAGUCGAGAGGUAUGCGGAAUGCGCAGUGUAGCGGUGAAAUGCUUAGAUAUUGCGCAGAACUCCGAUUGCGAAGGCAGCAUACCGGCGGCGAUCUGACGCUGAGGCACGAAAGCGUGGGUAUCGAACAGGAUUAGAUACCCCUGUAGUC
rnacentral:rRNA from 1 species